UGCAUCUCCGAAUUUUUUUAAUUUUUUAUUUUUCCAAAUUAUGGAAAUACACUUCCGUAAUUUCUAUCCAUUUCCGUAAUUUCUAUCCACAAAUAAAAAUGUUUGUUUUGGCAUGUCUUUCAUAUGGGUUUGACUUAUUUGACUAUGAUAUGAUUUUCUAAUUUUACUAUAAGUGUAAUGGCUGAAAACAAAGACAAAUUGAGAUAUGAUUGAGUGGCUUAACAUGCAUCGGUUUACAGACAGAGGGCCAAAACCUCGCGACCACCAAUUGGUGCGACUUAAUUUCAUCCAUAAGCAUUGAUUUUCCGAGAUCACGUGUCUCCAUCAUCGUCUUCUAGGAGGCACAUUUUCCACGAAGCCAACAGGAGGAACCUGCUGCUGCGGUUCUUGAUAGUUUUCUUGGAGGCCCUUAUGAUAUCUCUCCAUUUCCUCUUUAUACAAAGCAUGCUACUAAACAUGUGUGGGAAGGAGAGGUAUAAGACCAUUAACCAUGACACAGUGGCAGCUUUUGUGGAGAGUUGAGACUCGGAGACGUCAUAUUUUUAUAUUCCAAUUGGUGAGAUGUCCAUCACCCUUGAUGAUAUCUCAUGACUCCUAUAUCUCCUGACCAGGGGAAUAUUACUAAACCACUCCAAAAUGUCUGUACUUGAUGUAAUGAAUACGAUGGUGAAUUAUUUGGGAGCUGAUAUAAAUGAAUCCCAAAUUGAGAAUGAUACCACAAGAGGAGCUCAUGCUAUAUUUUCAUAUUUGGAGAUUUGUACAAAUAUCACCUGGUUGCAACAAUGGAGGUCAAAGGUGACGACGGACAAAUUUUGUACCAUAGACAAUGUGCAUUGAGGUCAUACCUCAUGUACUUGGUUGGCACACCCAUAUUUGUAGACAAAAGUGCAAGCUACGUCAAUAUAGUAUGCCUGACAUACUUCAUUGACUUAGAGCAGAUCCACGAGUACAAUAAGGGAGUCGUGUGUUUAUUUUAUCAGUACUCCAAAUUAGGUUAAGCUUGUCUUUGGAAGACAAUACAGUUGACAGGAAGCUGGACACUUUUUACGUCAUGGAACCUCUCUCACUUUCUUUCAUAUCCGGUUAGGCACUUGACAAUAACUAAACUUAGAAUUGGACACAUGAUUGCUCUUGUGUCCCACUCAGAGAGAAUCAUGCAAUAGAUCCAUUUAAGGUAUUUAUUGACAACAUUGCAGCAGAUGACUUAGGGUCUGUUUGUUUGGGGGUAAAUGGAGGGGAGGGGUAGGAAUGUUUAAUAGUUUAUGUGUUUGUUUCAAAUUUUAAG